rnacentral:rRNA from 1 species
GACGAACCGUGCGAACGUUAUUCGGAAUCAUUGGGCUUAAAGGGCGCGUAGGCGGGUCGACACGUCGGAACUGAAAUCUCCCGGCUCAACCGGGGAACGGGCUCCGAUACGGUCGGCCUCGAGGUGAGACGGGGGACCUGGAACGUCCGGUGGAGCGGUGAAAUGCGUUGAGAUCGGACGGAACGCCGACGGCGAAAGCAAGGUCCUGGGCUCAUAUCUGACGCUGAGGCGCGAAAGCCAGGGGAGCGAACGGG